AACGUAGGAGACAAACGUUAUCCGGAGUUACUGGGCGUAAAGGGCGUGUAGGUGGUUUCGUAAGUCUGGCGUGAAAUUUUUCGGCUUAACUGGGAAAGGUCGUCGGAUACUGCGGGACUAGAGGACGGUAGAGGCGUGUGGAAUUCCGGGUGUAGUGGUGAAAUGCGUAGAGAUCCGGAGGAACACCAGUGGCGAAGGCGACACGCUGGGCCGUACCUGACACUGAUGCGCGACAGCAUGGGGAGCGAACAGG
rnacentral:rRNA from 1 species